rnacentral:rRNA from 1 species
GAUAGGACUGCGGCCUAUCAGGCUGUUGGUGGUGUAACGGACCACCAAACCUACAACGGGUACGGGCGAUGGGAGUCGGAGCCCGGAGAUGGGGACUGAGACAAGGCCCCAGGCCCUACGGGGCGCAGCAGGCGCGAAAACUCCGCAAUGCGCGAAAGCGUGACGGGGGAACCCCAAGUGCCGUUGGUCUUUUGAUCGACGGCUUUUAGGGAGUCUAAGAAGCUCCCAGAAUAAGGGCUGGGUAAGUCGGGUGCCAGCCGCCGCGGUAAUACCCGCAGCCCAAGUGGUGGUCGCGAUUAUUGGGCCUAAAGCGCUCGUAGCCGGGUUGGUAAGUCUCUUGUGAAAUCGGACGGCCUAACCGUUCGGCUUGCAAGGGAUACUGCUAGUCUUGAGGCCGGGAGACGCUGAGGGUACUCUGGGGGUAGCGGUGAAAUGCUCUAAUCCUCGGGGGACCACCAGUGGCGAAGGCGUUCAGCGAGAACGGACCUGACGGUGAGGGGCGAAGGCUAGGG